rnacentral:tRNA from 1 species
UUUGAGUCUAUAUAGAUUAUGUUAUUAAAUCA